CAUUAUGGUAUCUAUGGUGGCAGAAAUAUUUGUUUUUAAUACCGUUACCAUAUAUUUCCUUUUAUUUAAGUUAUAAUCUGAUCGUGACGCAAAGAAUCAUUGGUUCAGGUGGAGGCAAGGGAUUUGGUGAAGGACUAUCCAUUAGACGAAAGUGAAAAUUCGGAGAAUCUGCACUUGAAACAGAUUCUGGUGUUCCAGUAGAACUCAACGAUCCAAAUAAAGGAC